GAUGAACGCUAGCGGCAGGCUUAAUACAUGCAAGUCGAGGGGCAGCACAGGAUAGCAAUAUUUGGGUGGCGACCGGCAAACGGGUGCGGAACACGUACGCAACCUUCCUUUAAGUGUGGGAUAGCCCAGGGAAACUUGGAUUAAUACCACGUAAGAUAGCAGAGUGGCAUCACUUAGCUAUUAUAGCUCCGGCGCUUAAGGAUGGGCGUGCGGCUGAUUAGGUAGUUGGCAGGGUAACGGCCUACCAAGCCUUCGAUCAGUAACUGGUGUGAGAGCACGACCAGUCACACGGGCACUGAGACACGGGCCCGACUCCUACGGGAGGCAGCAGUAAGGAAUAUUGGUCAAUGGACGCAAGUCUGAACCAGCCAUGCCGCGUGAAGGAUGACGGCCCUCUGGGUUGUAAACUUCUUUUAUCUGGGAAGAAAUGCCAUUUUUCUAAAUGGUUUGACGGUACCAGGUGAAUAAGCACCGCUAAC
rnacentral:rRNA from 1 species